rnacentral:misc_RNA from 1 species
GUAACAAGGUCUCCGUUGGUGAACCAGCGGAGGGAUCAUUACCGAGUUUACACUCCCAAACCCAAUGUGAACCAUACCAAACUGUUGCCUCGGCGGGGUCACGCCCCGGGUGCGUCGCAGCCCCGGAACCAGGCGCCCGCCGGAGGGACCAACCAAACUCUUUCUGUAGUCCCCUCGCGGACGUUAUUUCUUACAGCUCUGAGCAAAAAUUCAAAAUGAAUCAAAACUUUCAACAACGGAUCUCUUGGUUCUGGCAUCGAUGAAGAACGCAGCGAAAUGCGAUAAGUAAUGUGAAUUGCAGAAUUCAGUGAAUCAUCGAAUCUUUGAACGCACAUUGCGCCCGCCAGUAUUCUGGCGGGCAUGCCUGUCCGAGCGUCAUUUCAACCCUCGAACCCCUCCGGGGGGUCGGCGUUGGGGAUCGGGAACCCCUAAGACGGGAUCCCGGCCCCGAAAUACAGUGGCGGUCUCGCCGCAGCCUCUCCUGCGCAGUAGUUUGCACAACUCGCACCGGGAGCGCGGCGCGUCCACGUCCGUAAAACACCCAACUUCUGAAAUGUUGACCUCGGAUCAGGUAGGAAUACCCGCUGAACCUAAGCAUAUCA